AUCUCUCCUUGUCGAUCUUGUCGAUUUUCUGGGAGGACUUUUCAAAAGAGUAAAAUGACUCCGAGCUAUAUAAAGAAACGUGAGGGGGGUGGCGUGCACGCGAAGCGCAACGUAACACACGUUGCUACGAUGUCGUCGGAGUAAUUUGGGUGCACGCUGCGACGAGAGAUCACCUGUCACAAGUUCUUUCUGGCAACAUAAACGGCGUCGUUUAAUAUUUUGUAUACGCCGAGUUAGGCGGUGGCGACGGGGGGCUCCUUUCCAUUUCGGCGCCCCCCUUUUACGUGAAAUCCCAUCGCGAAACCGCAAAGUUUGGUUGUUAUAAACGUUAAAUGCAACCCUUUAUAGUUCGAAAGAGUAUUAAACGUUUUGAAUUGAAAACCGGAUUGGAUAACUAUGAAGUCAUUCAAUACAAACAAAGAUGCUCGUUCGAGAGGUAAAUCGCGUAAAUCUUCUUAAAUCACCUAUAAAUCGAUUUAAUCGGGCUUUAUUUUAUAUUCCCACAUCUCCAGUUUUAGUUGGUAUCAUUGCAUAACGAAGUUCUUCAAUACAAACAAAGACGAUCUUUCAAGAAGUGAAUAAAAUUAAGCGUAAUUCUUCUUAAAUCCCCUAUAAAUCGAUAUCCUUUAUUAAUCGGGGUUAAUUUUAUAUUCCCACAUCUCCAGUUUUAGGUGGUAUCAUUGCAUAACUUAACCUGAACUUAACGCUCUUCAAUACAAACAAAGACGAUGUUUCAAAAAGUGAAUAAAAUUAAACGUAAUUCUUCUUAAAUCACCUAUAAAUCGAUAUCCUUUAUUAAUCGGGCUUUAUUUUAUAUUCCCAUAUCUCCAGUUUUAGUUGGUAUCAUUGCAUAACAAAGUUCUUCAAUACAAACAAACACGAUCUUUCAAGAAGUGAAUAAAAUUAAGUGUAAAUCUUCUUAAAUCACUCAUAAAUCCCAUCUCCAGUUUUAGUUGGUAUCAUUGCAUAAUUUGACGUUCUUCAAUACAAACAAAGACGAUCUUUCAAGAGGCUAAUAAAAUUAAUCAAAAAUCUUCUUAAAUCACCUAUAAAUCGAUAUCCUUUAUUAAAUCCAGGUUAAAUUUAUAUUCCCUCAUCCCCAGGUACUUACUAUUGAUUGUUGAAGAUGUUUGAAAAUCCGUAUCUGGUACGUAUUGUUCGCUAUCGUCGGUUUCACAGCUAUUUCCUGGAUGUAAUAAACGAUUGAAAACAAAAUUUUAUUACCAGCGAAAUUAACAAGGUCAUAACAUUGAUAUCGGGGGCAGUUUCAUCCCCCUUUCGACCUUUUCGGGGGUUAAGUGGCGCUCCCAUUUACGACUAUUAAUUAUGCAGGACCCCUGUAUUACUUACCUUCUUGGUGCCAGGACUCCCUCCAGUCCGCCGGGAAUCCUGCUGCAAUGAAAUAACAACAGGCAAUGAGUCUAAAAUCGUUCUAAAUUCAAGAUUCAACUAAAGAUGGGGCACAACUUGAAGACAUCAGAAAAUGAUUUAUG